rnacentral:rRNA from 1 species
UUAGAUUUUAUUUAUUAAUUUUAUUAAUUUUAAUUUAAAAUAUUAAAAAUAAUUAUAUAAUAAAAAGUUUUAGUAUUGUUUAAAGAAAAAAUAAAUUUAAUAAUAGUUUAAUAGUAUUGUGAAAGAAAAUUGAAAUAAUUUGAAAAAUUAUUAUUAUAAAAGAAAAUUUAAUUUAUUGUACCUUGUGUAUCAGUGUUUAUUAAAUAAAAAAUAUUUAAUAUAUUUUUCUCGAUUUUAAAAGAGUUAAUAUAAUAUAAAAGUUAAUGUGAUAAAAUUAUUUUUCAUAUUAUAUUAGAAAUGAAAUGUUAUUCGUUUUUAAAGGUAUCUAGUUUUUCAAGAAAUGAAUUAAAUUUAGAAAUUAUAAAUUUAUUUAAAAAAUUUAUUAGUUAAAUAAUUUAUAAUUUUAAUAUUUUAUGGGAUAAGCUAUAAAAUAAAUUUUUAAAAAUAAUAAAUAAAUUUAAUAAAUAUAUGCUUAAAAUUAGCAAUUAUUUAUAAUUAUGUUAUAAUUUAUUUUAUAUAUAUAUAUUAUUUAUUAAAUUUUGAAUAUUUAUUGAAAUAUUAAUUUUAAUUUUUUAAAUUAAGUAAUAAUGAUAAAAUUAGUAUAUUUUAUUGUAUUAAUAAAUUUAAAUGAAAAGUUUUUAUAAAG